UACGUAGGGCGCAAGCGUUGUCCGGAAUUAUUGGGCGUAACGAGCUCGUAGGCGGCUUGUCACGUCGAUUGUGAAAGCCCGAGGCUUAACCUCGGGUCUGCAGUCGAUACGGGCUAGCUAGAGUGUGGUAGGGGAGAUCGGAAUUCCUGGUGUAGCGGUGAAAUGCGCAGAUAUCAGGAGGAACACCGGUGGCGAAGGCGGAUCUCUGGGCCAUUACUGACGCUGAGGAGCGAAAGCGUGGGGAGCGAACAGG
rnacentral:rRNA from 1 species